UUUUUUUUUUUUUCUUUUUUCCUAUUUCAAUAUUUCUUUCCUAUUUUUAAACAUGUGCCCAUUAUUACAAAGACGCUAAUAAUGAAAUAUAUUUAAUUAAAAAACCCAAAUGCACACUAACAAUGAAUCAACUUCUCCCAGUCUUUCAUUACAUAUGUUCCAAUUGCUUUUCUCCCUCUCGCCCUCCAAAAUUGCACUAUUUAUCUGUAUGGAGCAGAUACCUUAAUCUUUCGGGGGGAAAGCAGAGAAUAAUUUCAAUUUCCAUGCAUUUAUGAAAAGACAUUCUUAAAUAGACUGGAAAAAAAAAAAAGAGAGAGAGAGAGAGAGAGAUAUUGCAUCUAUAAAUAAAUUAUUCAGGGCCGGGCGCUGGGAUGGGGUUACACAUCGUCAUUGUUUGAGGAGGCUGCAAAGCCUGACCCGGGAGUGCAGCUGUUGUCUUUGUGCCGGGCACUCGGCGCUUGCCAUUGUUCCGUGGCUGCAGCAGGCCCGGCGGGGCGAGGGGAGGGCAGCCUGGGUGAAAGGACGGCUGUGCAUUGAUGGUGCGGGGCACCAGCACUGGUGGCAGCCCUGGGCUUCUUCGCUGUGGGGCUGUCGGGGCCACUUCAGAGUUACAGCCCCCCUGCCCCACCCUGAAUCAGCAAUUUCGGGAGAUGAGAAUGCGUUCACCCCCUGUGCGUGCCAGCUGGAUCUUACCCAGGAACAGGCUGGGUUGUGUCAACAGAUGGUGUAAAAGGGGACAAAAAGGACAGUAUUUCCAAGCUGAAUAUGUAAUAUUAAACAGGUGUGGAGGUAAGAAAUGGUAAUGAAUAAAGAACACCAUGCUGCAGAGAGUGAUGUCCUUAUGACUGAGAGAGGGAGGCACAAAUUGCUUCUACUCAACACGUCCUGCUGAGCAGCAGGGGGAAUGGCUGAGGUGCUUCUGCCACUCUUCUUUUCCACAGUAACCACAGAAUCAUAGAAUGGCUUAGGUUGGUAGGGACCUCAAAGGUCAUCCACUUCCAAUCCCCUGCUGAGGGUGGAGUUCCCACCCAUAAGAUCAGGCUGCCCAGGUCUCCAUCCAGCCUGACCUUGACCGCUUCAAAGGAUGAGGCAUCCACAGCUUCUUUGGGCAUUCUGUUCCUGUGCCUCACCACCUUGGAACAGAGGGGGAGAUGGUAGACAGAGUCCCUGCUGCUAGGUCUAUCAGAUACCAAAGAUGGCAACGCUCAUCCCCAUGUCCUGCCAGAGCAAGGUGCACCCAGGGCAUGGAGGGUGCUGGGCAUUCACAGCUGCUCCCAGUUCUUCUCCCUGCUCAUGGGCCUGAAGGUAGAAGUAAGCGACACCCAAACAUGCUGCCAAAAGGAUACCAAAAAACAGCCAGAAUGCAAGUGGGGGCUCUUUGCCACUUCUGCAGCAACACCUGAAAUGCUUGUUCUAAGCUAGGAUUAUCCUGUAAUUGUGAAUGCAUCCCCCUCAUUCCUCAGCACGUGGCUGUCUGGUCUUACUGAGUUCCUCCUCAACUGCUAAGUUUUAAUCUUAAAAAUUUGUUAAUUUGAUUGUUAUAUCCCUGCCAGGCUUCCUCAUUUAUUUUCAGGUAGUCCAAGUCUCACUGUCUGGCAGGGAUGGAAUCCCACAUUAAUCUCACUGUUGAGACCGGGAGUGAGGGGCUUCGGGCUGGUGCAAAAGCCAAGUCACUCUUCAAUGGGGUGGAAAUGAAGAUGUUCGUUGCUGGGGGAGUGGGACCAACAAACAUUCUGCUUUGGCAGAUACUGUCAAACAGCAUAUAGCUACUUACAAAUUUGUGUUCACAUUGCUCUGUUCUAGGGACCUACAUUGUGUAUUCCCAAAUCCUUUCUUUGACUUACCUCAAAGUUAUAGAGCAUCAAUAGUAUAUGCAUCAUGGUAUGUAAAAGAUAUUCAUGUAUUUUACUUGCAGUAUGGCAUGCAUCUGUGACAUGUAAAAGAUGAGCUGCCUGCUCAUCUUUCAAACUAUUCUCUCUAGAACUGUUUUUAGCCAAAAUUCAGCUUUGUUGUUUCCCCAUCCUCUGUGAUCUGUCAGUAGGGUUCAAUGCAAUUAACUCUGUUGGUCUUGCAAUCAUGCCCUCACCUGCCUUGCUUGAUAACAGUUUCCUUCCUCUCCUCUGAAUGGGUCAGUCAGAAGACCAUCCUGGUGCCUCCUUCCGUUUUCUAGGGAAACCACUAGGCUCUCACCAUGCUCCUGCUGACUUUUUCCACAUUCACAAUACCACCUUCCACCUAUAUUUCAACCAACCUCCCAGCAUCUCUCUGUAGUUCGUUAAACAAAUAUAGGUUACAGGAGCCUACCUUAACUCUCUCUUCUUCUAAAGUGGCUACAAAGAUAGCAAGAAGAUACUCAUGUAUGGAGUCUACAGACCAACGUGCUGAUCAGUACUGCCUCAGUUUUAACUUGUAUUCUCACACUUACACAUCUCCCUGUCAUCUGACGUGAAGUUCUGUGCUUGUACCUCACAGCCAGGGUCUCUGUCCCCCAUUGCCUUAAUUAUGGACUCUGUGUGCUGCAGAUAUAUAAAUCAUGGAAAUUUAAUCAGGCUUAUUGCAUCCCUCAUCUGCCAGCACAGUCUGAAAUUAAAGCUGCAGUGAAAUAAAGGCUACUCCCAGUAAGAGGGAGCAGCAGUGCUACAUUCUACAUUUUGUCCAGAUAAAGCAUCUCUGGGCACCCAGGUGCAGUCUUCAGCUCGGGCUGUCACUCACGGCGUUCACCCUCACAUCCCUCCUUCCUUUAUUGGCGACACGAAGAGAGGAAAAGCAAGUCACCCUGUGCUUAAAUUGGAAUCAAUAAAAGCCCAGCCACAAAGCAGCAAGCUGCCAUCUUCAUAGCCAGUUCUGCAAGUUAGGGCACAGUCAAUAGUACCUCUGGAGCAAGCGUUUAAGCAGCCAUGUGGGGCAACUUGUCAGGUAAUUUCCAUUGGCUUAAUCAGAUCCUGUAAGAGGCGUUAAAUAGUGAUGUCUCCUCACACUGAUGAGAAUUGGUCUUAUCCACAGGCUACUUCCUAGUAGCAAAUUGGGGCUAAUAAAGAGAACCAGCUGAGUAUGGUGUACAGCUAUAGAAAUGCCAAAUAGAUACCCAAAUCAGGAUGGAAAAAUUCUCAUCGUUAUAUGAGAAUUUGAAAGAAGUACGAUACCAAUUUGAUGUCUGAAGGACACUGAAUACUGAAGUUUUUCAUCAUUGUGUGUUGCCAGAGCCUGCAUGAUUAGCACCUAUUGAAAUCAAUUAGUUUAAUCACAGUAAUAUCCUCCGGGUCUGGAUGGGUUUGUAAGACAAGCCCCAAAACCGUGUCUCUGCUGGGAAAAUUACCCAUUACUGACAAUGGCUACACCCUAACAGAUGCAGAUGAAUAAGUAAACACAUUAAGCUGCUGAGGUAGACUAGGACAAACAGCACUCAGCACUGCUUAGUAACCAUUCUGUGUUACUCAUCUGCCAAUGUGUUAGCUGCUAUUUAACUUGUUCUGUCCUGAUUGACACUUGGAGCUAAAUAGUGCUCAGCCUUUGUUCCUUUUCCUAGCAAGGUAUGAGGUUUGAGUGUCUGCAGCUUUCAAAACACCUUCUGAAGACAAAGAUGAAAGAGUCAUUGUAAUAUGGUGGAGUAUAAAUCAAUAGUGGAAAAUUAUUUUAACUUCAAAAUGCUCUUGUGAGCAUUACUGUUUGGGGUGGAAUAUAACACAGACUAUAGCCAGCAUUAGCAAGUAAAGAUGAAAGGCGAUAUUGUGCAAAAAAUGAGAAGGAAAAAAAAAAAA
ensembl:lncRNA